UACGUAGGGGGCUAGCGUUGUCCGGAAUCAUUGGGCGUAAAGAGCGUGUAGGCGGUCCGGUAAGUCCGCUGUGAAAGUCGGGGGCUCAACCCUCGAAUGCCGGUGGAUACUGUCGGGCUAGAGUGCGGUAGGGGAGAUUGGAAUUCCUGGUGUAGCGGUGGAAUGCGCAGAUGUCAGGAGGAACACCAAUGGCGAAGGCAGAUCUCUGGGCCGUAACUGACGCUGAGGAGCGAAAGCAUGGGGAGCGAACAGG
rnacentral:rRNA from 1 species